rnacentral:rRNA from 1 species
UACGUAGGGUGCAAGCGUUAAUCGGAAUUACUGGGCGUAAAGCGUGCGCAGGCGGUUUUGCAAGUCUGUCGUGAAAUCCCCGGGCUCAACCUGGGAAUUGCGAUGGAGACUGCAAGGCUAGAAUCUGGCAGAGGGGGGUAGAAUUCCACGUGUAGCAGUGAAAUGCGUAGAGAUGUGGAGGAACACCGAUGGCGAAGGCAGCCCCCUGGGUCAAGAUUGACGCUCAUGCACGAAAGCGUGGGGAGCAAACAGG